GUCUCGAGUCAUUGGUGUGUGUGACAUCAAGACAAGUACAUAGGUGCUCAGUAGAGAAUGAGUUCACUGAACGCGAUCAACGAAGAGUUCUCAUGCUCAUGUCACAUGAGAACUCAUGGUUGGGAUAAUGCAAAUUAGUCCUUUGACCUGAGGCAUCACAGUUGUCUUGUGGUUAAGUACUUGAUCUUUGAUUAUGUCAAAGUCUCCCCCUCAGGGUGUCCACAGCAUCGUUGGGGUUAAGCCACUUAGUCAUGGAGGCAAGUGAAUGCGCAACAAGGGAUCUCUAACCUUCAAACCGUUUGAGGGAGAAUACUCUAUGAUAUGAUUUAGAAUCUCUGGCCAGAGUAUGAAUGAGAUUUGGGAAUGCGUUCCGAAUCACAUUCAAGGAAAUCAUAUAAGCACACGAAUCACAUUGGAUAGUAGACAUGAAUAAAUAAACUAUCAAACCAAACAAUGUGGUCAGAAGUAUUAGAUUAGAGAAAGACCGUAUUGCAUUUGUAAUCCCAGACUGAAUAGGUUUUCUCUACCUCUUCUGAUUAGCUUGGGUAACCAUGAUAUGCUACAAGGUGUCACUCAUGGUUUGUGGAAGCCCUAAACGUGUGUAAUCACUAAAGGGAGAAUUGAAAGUAAGUUU
rnacentral:lncRNA from 1 species